CCUACGGGAGGCAGCAGUGGGGAAUAUUGGGCAAUGGGCGCAAGCCUGACCCAGCAACGCCGCGUGAAGGAAGAAGGCUUUCGGGUUGUAAACUUCUUUUCUGAGGGACGAAGAAAGUGACGGUACCUGAGGAAUAAGCCACGGCUAACUACGUGCCAGCAGCCGCGGUAAGACGGAGGGGGCAAGCGUUAUUCGGAUUUAUUGGGUGUAAAGGGCGUGUAGGCGGGAAAGCAAGUCAGAUGGGAAAACUGAGGGCUCAACCCUGAGACUGCAUUUGAAACUGUUUUUCUUGAGUGCUGGAGAGGCAAUCGGAAUUCCGUGUGUAGCGGUGAAAUGCGUAGAUAUACGGAGGAACACCAGUGGCGAAGGCAGAUUGCUGGACAGUAACUGACGCUGAGGCACGAAAGCGUGGGGAGCAAACAGGAUUAGAUACCCUUGUAGUC
rnacentral:rRNA from 1 species